UACGGAGGGUGCAAGCGUUAAUCGGAAUUACUGGGCGUAAAGCGCGCGUAGGCGGCCGUCUAAGUCGGGUGUGAAAGCCCCGGGCUCAACCUGGGAACUGCAUCCGAUACUGGUCGGCUAGAGUAUGAGAGAGGGAGGUAGAAUUCCACGUGUAGCGGUGGAAUGCGUAGAUAUGUGGAGGAAUACCGGUGGCGAAGGCGGCCUCCUGGCUUAAUACUGACGCUGAGGUGCGAAAGCGUGGGGAGCAAACAGG
rnacentral:rRNA from 1 species